rnacentral:tRNA from 1 species
AUAAAGGAGCCUACUGGACAUGGCAUCUGCCCGUUAAGCGGAACACUGUGGGUUCGAUUCCCAUUCCUGGACACUUUUAUU